rnacentral:rRNA from 1 species
CGCUCCCACCAGACCACCUCAGCCAGCGAUUUCAUCAGCUCUCACAGCCUAAGCAAAGUCAGGCUUGGCCAGUGCUUGGAUGGGAGACCUCCCUGGAAACCCAGGAAGUGGUGU